CAUUGCGAUCGAUUUCCAUGAGAUUAUUUCCGCAACUGGCAAGAUGAAUGAUAAGUGCUUUAUGGAUGCCCAGCAGUCCAGCAGUAAAGGUGUUUUGUAUCUCUGUGAAAGGAACUCCAAGGCAAAUAACGUUCUGGUAACCCGUGACGACAUCUUCACUGCAAAAGCAAUUCCCGCAAUCAACAGCAUCUGUUGGACCGAUGCUGCCCAAUAACAAAAGCAGCUGCCACAAUUUGAAAAGAAAGUCAGUCGUCGUCGCACAGAAGCUGGGCUAGUGAAAUCGCCAUCACUUGCUUCAUCUGUCACUAUCUCGAUUCUUUCCGGAGGUCUUUUAUGUUUCAUUGUCCCGGCAACUAAACAAUAGGAUAAGAACUGACAAAAGAAAAUCCUAAUUGAUUUGUUGCCCCAAACAUUUAAGAAAACAAAAGUUGUAAGCCCUAAAGAAUAGCUUGCAUGUGAAAAGUCACAAGUCUUAUCCGUGUUGAUCCGUGUCUGUUUUUCUCCACAUUUUAUUUUCUUUCUCACGAAACUAGACCUGUUAGAAGGUGCGAUUUCUUCUAUUGCGUAUAAUAGUUUCAAUUUUAAAUUUCGUUGACAUUCGUUUAACAGAAUCAAAUUCUUGUUUCAAUAAUUUUAUUGGUGUUCUACAUUUCUAAACCCGACACAAUUUCUCAGAAUUGGAAAUGAUCCU